rnacentral:rRNA from 1 species
UCGGGAAUUUUGGGCAAUGGGCGAAAGCCUGACCCAGCAACGCCGCGUGAAGGAUGAAAUCCCUCGGGAUGUAAACUUCGCAAGAAUGGGAAGAAUAAACAAUGCUAAUACCAUUGUUGAUGACGGUACCAUUUGUAAGCUCCGGCUAACUCCGUGCCAGCAGCCGCGGUAAUACGGGGGGAGCAAGCGUUGUUCGGAUUUACUGGGCGUAAAGGGCGCGUAGGCGGCGUGAUAAGUCACUUGUGAAAUCUCCGGGCUCAACUCGGAACGGCCAAGUGAUACUGUCGUGCUAGAGUGUGGAAGGGGCUACUGGAAUUCUUGGUGUAGCGGUGAAAUGCGUAGAUAUCAAGAGGAACACCUGAGGUGAAGGCAGCUUACUGGAAGAGUUCUGACGCUCAGGCACGAAAGCGUGGGUAGC